rnacentral:rRNA from 1 species
UACGAAGGGGGCUAGCGUUGUUCGGAAUUACUGGGCGUAAAGCGCACGUAGGCGGACUACUAAGUCAGGGGUGAAAUCCCGGGGCUCAACCCCGGAACUGCCUUUGAUACUGAUAGUCUCGAGUCCGGAAGAGCUGAGUGGAAUUCCGAGUGUAGAGGUGAAAUUCGUAGAUAUUCGGAGGAACACCAGUGGCGAAGGCGGCUCACUGGUCCGGUACUGACGCUGAGGUGCGAAAGCGUGGGGAGCAAACAGG